ensembl:lncRNA
GUUUGCCAUCCCUAAUGACAGAUUCCUAUCACAAGCUCACGAGCUACAUGAAGCUUACAGCGAGGGCGCAAAUAUGCUUGCGUUGUCAGCGCGAGCAGCCAGGAAAUGUGAAAAUCCGUCGCAGACGUGGAAGUCCAACCCAAAAGUGCGGACUCGCUGUCUUGUUCACCAUGUGAACAAGACAGCUCUGUGGUAGAAGAGUGAAGCGACGCUCUGCGUGAAGUGUUCCGACCGACUGGCUCCUACCACCAGGACCACCGCCACGCCAACCAGCAACACCCCCACCUCACCCCCACGGCCAUCUCCACGGCCAUCUCCACGACGACACAACAAGCAGCUUACCGGACCACUUCCGUCCAGCCCAUCUCAUCCCCUCUCUCUAUCUCUCUCUCACUCUUACAUUUACAUUUACAUUUAAGGCAUCUGGCAGACGCUUUAAUCCAAAGCGAUUUACAUCAUUUAAUACACACAUUGACACACCGACGGCAGAGUCAACCAUAAAAGGCGACAGCCAGCUCGUCAGGAGCAGUUAGGAGUUAAGUGUCUUGCUCAGGGACACGUCAACACUCAG